rnacentral:rRNA from 1 species
AGUGAACGCUGGCGGUAGGCCUAACACAUGCAAGUCGAACGGCAGCACAGUAAGAGCUUGCUCUUACGGGUGGCGAGUGGCGGACGGGUGAGGAAUACAUCGGAAUCUACUUUUUCGUGGGGGAUAACGUAGGGAAACUUACGCUAAUACCGCAUACGACCUACGGGUGAAAGCAGGGGAUCUUCGGACCUUGCGCGAUUGAAUGAGCCGAUGUCGGAUUAGCUAGUUGGCGGGGUAAAGGCCCACCAAGGCGACGAUCCGUAGCUGGUCUGAGAGGAUGAUCAGCCACACUGGAACUGAGACACGCUCCAGACUCCUACGGGGGGCAACAGUGGGGAAUAUUGGACAAUGGGCGCAAGCCUGAUCCAGCCAUACCGCGUGGGUGAAGAAGGCCUUCGGGUUGUAAAGCCCUUUUGUUGGGAAAGAAAAGCAGCAGGUUAAUACCCCGCUGUUCUGACGGUACCCAAAGAAUAAGCACCGGCUAACUUCGUG